rnacentral:rRNA from 1 species
GAUGAACGCUGGCGGCGUGCCUAAUACAUGCAAGUCGAGCGAACAGAUGAGGAGCUUGCUCCUCUGACGUUAGCGGCGGACGGGUGAGUAACACGUGGAUAACCUACCUAUAAGACUGGGAUAACUUCGGGAAACCGGAGCUAAUACCGGAUAAUAUAUUGAACCGCAUGGUUCAAUAGUGAAAGACGGUUUUGCUGUCACUUAUAGAUGGAUCCGCGCCGCAUUAGCUAGUUGGUAAGGUAACGGCUUACCAAGGCAACGAUGCGUAGCCGACCUGAGAGGGUGAUCGGCCACACUGGAACUGAGACGCGGUCCAGACUCCUACGGGAGGCAGCAGUAGGGAAUCUUCCGCAAUGGGCGAAAGCCUGACGGAGCAACGCCGCGUGAGUGAUGAAGGUCUUCGGAUCGUAAAGCUCUGUUAUUAGGGGAGAACAAAUGUGUAAGUAACUAUGCACGUCUUGACGGUACCUGAUCAGAAAGCCACGGCUAACUACGUG